UACGAAGGGGGCUAGCGUUGCUCGGAAUCACUGGGCGUAAAGCGCACGUAGGCGGAUUCCUAAGUCGGGGGUGAAAUCCUGGAGCUCAACUCCAGAACUGCCUUCGAUACUGGGAAUCUUGAAUCCGGGAGAGGGAUGCGGAAUUCCAGGUGUAGCGGUGAAAUGCGUAGAUAUCAGGAAGAACACCCGUGGCUAAGGCGGCUCUCUAGUACGUGACUGACGCUGAGACGCGAAAGCGUGGGGAGCGAACAGG
rnacentral:rRNA from 1 species